UGGCGGCAGGCUUAACACAUGCAAGUCGAGCGGUAGCAGAUCUAGCUUGCUAGAUGCUGACGAGCGGCGGACGGGUGAGUAACGCGUAGGAACCUGCCCAGUAGUGGGGGAUAGCCCGGGGAAACUCGGAUUAAUACCGCAUACGCUCUACGGAGGAAAGAGGGGGCUUCGGCUCUCGCUAUUGGAUGGGCCUGCGUGAGAUUAGCUAGUUGGUGAGGUAAUGGCUCACCAAGGCGACGAUCUCUAGCUGGUCUGAGAGGAUGAUCAGCCGCACUGGGACUGAGACACGGCCCAGACUCCUACGGGAGGCAGCAGUGGGGAAUAUUGCACAAUGGGCGCAAGCCUGAUGCAGCCAUGCCGCGUGUGUGAAGAAGGCUUUCGGGUUGUAAAGCACUUUCAGUGGGGAGGAAGGCCUCGUAGUUAAUAGCUGCGAGGAUUGACGUUACCCACAGAAGAAGCACCGGCUAACUCCGUG
rnacentral:rRNA from 1 species